CUUCGGGGGUAGAGCACUGUUUCGGCUAGGGGGUCAUCCCGACUUACCAACCCGAUGCAAACUACGAAUACCGAAGAAUGUUAUCACGGGAGACACACGGCGGGGGCUAACGUCCGUCGUGAAGAGGGAAACAACCCAGACCGCCAGCUAAGGUCCCAAAGUCAUGGUUAAGUGGGAAACGAUGUGGGAAGGCACAGACAGCCAGGAUGUUGGCUUAGAAGCAGCCAUCAUUUAAAGAAAGCGUAAUAGCUCACUGGUCGAGUCGGCCUGCGCGGAAGAUGUAACGGGGCUAAACCAUGCACCGAAGCUGCGGCAGCGACACUAUGUGUUGUUGGGUAGGGGAGCGUUCUGUAAGCCUGCGAAGGUGUGCUGUGAGGCAUGCUGGAGGUAUCAGAAGUGCG
rnacentral:rRNA from 1 species